UACGCGAUGCCGAAUUCGGGUCGCGGCUAAAACCACUCGCUGAACUUCAGGAGAUUGACAUGACU
rfam:Pseudomonas agarici strain NCPPB 2472 genome.